UACAGAGACUGCAAGCGUUAUUCGGAUUCACUGGGCGUAAAGGGUGCGCAGGCGGCCGUGUGUGUCAGGUGUGAAAGCCCGGAGCUUAACUCCGGAAUUGCGCCUGAGACUACAUGGCUAGAGCAUUGGAGAGGGUAGCGGAAUUCACGGUGUAGCAGUGAAAUGCGUAGAUAUCGUGAGGAACACCAGAGGCGAAGGCGGCUACCUGGACAAUUGCUGACGCUCAGGCACGAAAGCGUGGGGAGCAAAAGGG
rnacentral:rRNA from 1 species